UGAUUCAAAUUCUUUGUAUACAGUUUUAUGUCAGAUUGAAUUCGGUUGACUUGUUCUAGAAUUAGUCCAGAGAAGAGUGGCUGAAAAUUUGGUGCUUUAUUGUGCAAUUGAGGUGUGUGAAUGGAUUUAAACUUACUCUGCCUAAUUCAGGUACCACUAGUACUGAGACUACAGUAACGAAGGCAUCAGUGCAGGUUAGCAGCCUAAGAAAGGCUUGAGACCCUAAAAACUUUGCAAAGCAAGGACUCGGAAUGUGAGAGGGCAUUCUUAUAUAAAAAAAAAAAAAAUCCCAAACCCACUAGCACCCCAACAAACUCCCCCACUGUAUGUAGAAUCUGAAUAUAUGUAGAUGUUGAGACACAGCAGGUUGAGUUUAUUAAACAAUAAUCCUUCUCAGGUGCAGCGAAUCAUAUGGAUUUUCUUCCUGUGUCUGGAUAAACUUUAUACCCAUUGAUACUUCUAUAACUGUUCUCAUUUGGUAUUGUUAAUUACUUAUUUUUAAGCAAGAAGAGGAAAUCCCUUAUCUGCUGCCUGUAAAAGGCCAAUCACUUUCACUUCCAUGCAAUUAGAAAUGUUUUUAUGUAACAUUUUAAGCCUCCCAAUAGUUGCAUUAAUCUCAGUAACAGGCUAUGGUUGUUGUCAUGUCUUAUUGGUAGCAGUGUAUUUCAGGAAAACACGUUUGUGUGCUUUUAUUUAAAAAUACAAGGAGUAUGGUAACAUUUCAAGUAAUGUGUUAAGGACCUGGCAGGUCUCUUGGGCUUUUAGGGAGUAUAGAAAGCAAUUAGAAGGAAUAAGAGGUGCUAGGAAGGAGUGGAGUUAUUUCUUUAUGCUGCUCUUCACCACAAGGAUGUUGUGGGCAUUUUAUUCUUUUCAAAUAAUGUUGAUUGGAUGUUAUCUGAUUAUGGGAUUAGAGUGGCGAAAGACUGAAUGCUAGAAUGAAGUGCUAAAGACUCCUAAGUCACCAGGACUCGAUGCUAUUCAUUCCUUUAGUGGUUCUAAAGGAUGAAGUGGCUGAUCUGCUAAGAAGAAUGCAUCUCGUUAGGAUGAGAUGCUGUGCCAGGAGACCGGAAGCUGUCAAGUGCUGUACAUACUGUACUUCCAAACUGAACACAAAGAGCAGAGCUGGAAUUUGCAGACCAAGGACUCUUAUUUUAAUGCCACUUAAGUAGCUUUGAAUUCUGCAUGGGUAGUCUAGUAGUUCUGUGAGCACAAGAUACAACAGCUUUCUAUGCAGUUGUAUCUUAGAGGUAAUGAAAAAUACCAGCUGCAGCUGGGUACUUGUCAUGUGUCCCUUGCUUGUGUGUUUGUUCCCUAAUAACAAGGGCAUAGAUUGCGGUCUGUACUUCACUUUGGUCUGUUUGUGGGUUUAUCUGCCCAGUACUGGGAUUUCUGAAAUCUCUGAAUUCUUAUUAAACUAUAAAUGACUUUUCAAUUUUCCUUUUUGAUAAAGUUUGAAAUCAGGGAGUGGAUUUGAAAGUUAGAAAAUGCCAGGCCUAACCUAAGCAGACAUGUUUAACUGCAUUAAUCUCUUCUGUGUUUAGCAAUCUAAAGAAUGACUAAGUUGCUUCUGUUAUUAGUAGACAAGAGAGGGAUGAAUCUAUAUACUGAUACACUCACACACCCUGUUUAGUUCAUCCCACCUUAAACUUGCAGUGUGUGGCCUUUGGCAGGAAAUUGUACCCCACGCAAUUUGGGUGAGGCUCUACAAGUUGUCAUUUUUGAUGUCAUUGUGGGGAUGAUGACCAGUGAUGCAGAGGUGGAACUGAAAGUUAAAGCAGUCCAGGAGUAUGCUGUGCUGCUUUCAGUGGCAAAGCUGUGAUGUACCUUGUAGUUUACACUCAGGUGACAACAGCAGUUCUUAAGUACUGACUUUUGUAGCUGCAAUUAGCUGUGUGGUCUUGCUCCCUCAAUUUCCCUCCUGCUGUAUUAGCACAGUGAUUUGUGCUAUCAUGCAGUGACUUGAAUCAGAAAAUUGAUCCUGACUUCGAGAGGAGUCUGUGGCAAGCAGCAAUUUCUGACCCAAGCUAGUUCCUCACUCUGGUCUAGUGGGUGGCUCCACCAGGAGAUGGGAUCAUGGCCUAAGGAUCAGAACAAGCAGCAGGAGGGUUCUCUCUCUUUGAACUGGCAUUUCACCAGAAUAGAUGCUCAUCAGAUUAUGCCUGUAGAAUCUGUGACUCAUCUUGCCCUCAAUUCAAUUACUUCAGAUGAUCUGUAAAUUUUCAAUAAUGGCAAUACAUUCAUUCUGCCAUUUGGAGGAGCCUGUGCCACAGAAUAAUGAUCUGAGGAAAGCUCACUCAUUUGCAAGGAAGAGUCUUCAUUUGGGAAUUAGCACUGAUGCAGCUCAAGGGUGCUUUUUCAAGUCCAGACUCUUUCAGCAGAACUGUUAUUUUCCUAACACAACCUCUGGUACAAGGAUAAAACUGGGUUUUUGUCAAAGAACAGAGUCCUGUAUCUGAAGAUUAAGAAGGUCCUUGACAUUCAGUGGGAUGAGAAUCUCAGAACUGACUACUGGGGACUCCCAGGCUACAGAUCAGAAACCGUUUUGGUAGGUGUGGGUUGCUUGUCAGAAAUCCGUUCCGAAGCUUGAGUGCAAAGGAAGCAGGGUACUAAUGAUGAAUAAGAAUGGAUAUCUUGAGGAUAACAAUGGAUAUGGCAUCUUCAAAAGCAGUGGCAUUCUGGUCCUAGUCCUGUAACUGGAUUUGUUCAAAUGGACCUCAAGAGCCUGGGGGCCUGAUGAAGUCCAUGGGACUCUGGUGACUGCAGGUUCUCACUCUGAAGAUCUGAUUGUAGGCCUGAACCUUAAUUUCUAUUUUGUUUUCCUGUCUGUUUGCUUCUUAAAUGAUGAAAAUUAUCCUUUGAAAUGGUGUUGUCUUUGAGUCUCAUGCACAUCCACUUUAGUAGUGUUCAGACACUGUUUGUUUGGGAUGUUGUCAGACAUUGUUAAAAUAUUUCUGUUCUGUUGUGUGCCUAAACCUCCUGAUUGCUCUGAUUAUUGUAUUAGAUUUUUCUGUUUAGUGCCUUUCUACCUAAAAUAGAGAAGAUCAUCACCUGUGUUUUCAGUCGUGAUAUUUCUCUUAACUCAAAUUUUUAAGUCAGAGUAACUGUUGAAACUGUUCAGGUUAUUUUUAAAGAUACAGGUAGAUUUGUUUAUUUCUUGCUGAACUCAAAGUAUAAUAUUUUAUUUUGCAAACUUGGUAGCCUAGUAUUACUAAAAGCUUACAGUACGAUGAUACUCUGAUGUAAUAAAAUAAGUAGGAAAUGACCCUUUACUAGCUCUCCUGUUGCUUUUCUAUUCCUGUGGCUGUGGUUACACAACAUUCGACUGAGAGUGAAGAUAUUUUUAAUUUUUGAGCCAGUGUAUACCUUUUGUUGACAAUAAGUGCUGUUCCCUGUCCUAUUCCAUAUUGCAGUUUCACUGAAUAGCCUUGGUAGAAGCUGUAGAAAGGACUUUGAAAAAUCACAUGUAGAGUGUGAUCACAAAUAGAGUGUGAGAGAAAAAACAGAUGUGUUCUAUCUCUAUACAUGUUAGUAUUUAUGUUCUAUAUAUUUUUAAAGCAAGUGUGUAGCAGUGUAGGAUAAUUAAGAGGUCCAAAAGAUCCAAAACAUCCUUUCCAUACAAAGAAUCAGAGAAACUUUUUUGGUUUUUGUAGGCUAAUUACAAUGAUAUUAAGGAGCUUCACAGAAUUUGAUUAAUUUUUGCAUAUUCCCUGAACAGAAAAGCACCAUUGUCCUGUUAGACCAAGGAGAAAACUGAGCCACUUGUUUAGUCAGUGGUAAAGUCAAUGAUAUUAAAUGGAUUCUCCUGCCUUUUAA